UACAGAGGUCUCAAGCGUUGUUCGGAUUCAUUGGGCGUAAAGGGUGCGUAGGCGGCGCGGUAAGUCGGGUGUGAAAUCUCGGGGGCUCAACCCCGAAACUGCACUUGAUACUGCCUUGCUAGAGUACUGGAGAGGAGAUUGGAAUUUACGGUGUAGCAGUGAAAUGCGUAGAUAUCGUAAAGGAAGACCAGUGGCGAAGGCGAAUCUCUGGACAGUUACUGACACUGAGGC
rnacentral:rRNA from 1 species